GAUUUUUGUAAUAAGUAAAAGUUACACAAUUACUAAUGAAUUUGCCCAGCCCACAUUCUGAAAAGCACAGUUUGAAUACUGAGACAGAGAAAGGAUAACAGGAAUAUUUCCCUCUACACACACCACAAUAAUUAAAAGAUUUUAUGAUUCCCAUUUUAUUGGAAUAAGUUAUAUGAUACAGUACAAGAUUACUGAGUUAAGGUGCAAGUAUAUUUCAAGACAGAAAGAAGAAUUUAAGAAUAAGCACUGCUGAAUGUAAGGCCUACCAGUAGAGGAGCCUAUCUGAAUUGUGGACAUGCAGAUUUUUUUGGAUGCAGAGAGUAAAUAGUCCGACAUUCAUUAGAAACAGAAAUACCAGAAUUUCUCUAGUAAGACUGACAACAGGACUAAUAUAAAGGUCAGUAUAUGAUCUCUACUGAUUAUGCCUCAAACUAUUCCCCUUCCCAUGAACGUUUAACAUAUAUUCGUACCCUGACAACAUGUUUAUCCCCAUUCUGAUACCUACAGCUGCCCUUUCCCUAUGUGCAGGAUACCUCGUGAAAGUCCAUGGCAAAAGCAUUCUCACUAACUGAAGUGCUCAGUCUGGUUUAGGCAAAGAGUACCUGAGCAGAACAUGCAGGAGGUGGGUCAUUCACAGGUUUCUUAUGAAUUUAAACUAUAUAGAAUAGACCUUGCUAUAUUCUCACAUGGUCACAAUAGAGUCUUAUAUUAAGAACGUAGCACACAAAAGAGCGUUUGGUCUGAUUUGACCACAUUGGACCUUUUCAUUCUCACACAGCUACAGGAAGUAAUGCCUAUAAAAACUCCAAUACAUCUUCUGUUUGUGACAAUGGCUUUAGAUUAGUCAGUUUUAACAAACACUUACAGUUGCAUGGGUAAACACAAACAGAACAGCUUCCCUUUUAACUGCAAUAAGGAUCAAUGUGUUGAAUUAUUAUUUUUCCAUUUUUGUGAAUAUGUAUAAUUAGUUUUUCAUGAAUGCAUGUUAACCUGCAAUAACUGUGUUUUUGUCCUGUCAUAUUUAGACAGGAAAGAGGUCCUUCUUUAUUGAGACCACUGUGUUUUGCAAAAGCCUACAAUUAAACAAAGGAUAGAUGUGUAUAAAUGAUAAAACACAUUCAGAAGCAUAAAGGUGAGUAGUUUGUAUUUAAGUAGUUUGUAUUUACAAAUUUAACCUAAGAAGCUUAAUUCUGUCUGAUCAACACAUUUGUAACAACCACAGUGACAAUGACGCAGUUAUCAAAGAUAUAACUUCUGUCUGACCCACACACUGCAGAGAACAAACUGGCAGCAUCAGAGGAGAAAUGUAAUUUUAAAGUUUUUCUACAGCCAAAAACAAACUCCCAUCCAUACUGGUAUGUUUUAUACAGCCACAGCGCACAUGUUAAACUAAUAUGAAUAGUGCAAGGUAAAAUAAAGUUCCCAUCCAGAAAAACUGCCACAUUCUUGUAAACUUUACUCUGGGCUGAAGGUAGCUGGUCCUGCUCUCUCUCAGCAGCCAAAGCCAGUGAAAUGAUUUUGGCAAAGGUAAUAAUAUGGUAAAGGUAAUAAUCACUACAAAUGCUAUUAUAACAGUUUUUCCCCUGUAUUUAUUUAUGUUUUUAAAUUAUAUGCCACCAGAUGACUAGAUCUGUUAUGUGUGACAGUUACAAUUUGAUAAUUCUACAAAAUAAGUAAAAACCGAUAAAAACCCUGAAAACCAUAAAUUUCACACCCGCGCCUCAACUCCCAUGGCCCAGUACCAAACGACUCACGGACCGGUACCAGUUCGUGGCCCGGGGGUUGGGGACCACUGUUCUAAAGUAUCUAUGGAUAACUUGACAAAAAAACUUUUUGCAUAAGAAUCAAAAUGGUAACUAAAGCUUACAGAGGCCUGAAGCAUAACUCAAGCAUAAACACAUUACACUGCUUUUUCACCUUCAUGAAACAAAACUGUGCAUAUAAAAAGAGUAAAAACCAUGGUAACUGUAGUAUGCAGAUGCCUGAAGCAUAAACACAUGAUAAGGUUUAUUCCCUUCUCGAAGCUCAACUUUGUGCAUGCAAGAUUUAAAACAAGGGCUAAAGUGUAAAGUGUAAGCUUAUCUAAAAAAUUAUUUUAAACACAACAAACAAGUUGCAUUCACAUUUAUUCCUUUUACACGUCAUUGGCAACAUGUAUGCCAGAGUAGCAGUCUCACCACUGAGAACAAAACUGAUAAGCACUUUUUCCCUGGUAUUUGUGCAUGGUACCAUCUGACCUUCAGCCCACCAGUUGUGAUUUUACCAGAAAUAAGCACAAGUCUGUGAUGUACUCCAGCAUAUUUAUGUUGCACAUAUUUUGCUUUCACUGUCCAUUUCCUCAUCAUUUACAUUCCUGAAGUGCUCAAAAACUGCACUUUACAUUCUGCACAUAGACACAAUCACCACUGGAAUGUAAUUAUCUUGUGUUGUGUAUUGUUACUGUAUAUUUGCCACACCACAACACUGCAGUAAACCUGAAAGACACAGCCAGUGUUUCCUAAACCAGUUUUCAAUGCCAACUGGUUCUUGGUCUCGCUUGUGCUGCCAAACGAUCAAACAACCAAAAUUGUCCUCAAUCCUGUUAUUUAACAAAAACAUCUCAUACAUUUUUAAUCACACCCUUGAAGAUCUUUAAGUGUUCCUUAAAAAAAGUAUGUGUUUUGACCUACACACAAUGUAGCAAUGCACAGCAACAUACUAAUUCUUAGUUUUGUCUCUCAUCUUCUUGAUAUUUUAACAAAUGUAUUAAUUUUAUAUUUUUUCCAUUUCCUUUCCUCCUUCCCCUUACACAUGUGUGCUGUAGCAGGGGCAGCGAUAAUGUCUGCAUUCCCCCAACAUCAGCUGGUUGCAAUACACAACUCCACCCAGCCAGUUGUAUCCCAUUCUCAUGGUGAAAGUCAUGAUAAAUGCUUUAACACACUGAGCAGAACUUAGAAAUGAGAAACAUGUUUCUUUAAUAUUCUGCCUUCUCUUAAAUAAUUUAUUAAAUCUUCAACGUGCAGUGAUGUGACUUUUUAAAAGACAACAAAGAGGAUGAUUCAGAUAGGCUCCACUACUCAUUGUUGAACAAAAAUUUAUUAGCUUUACAGCUUUCACAAGAAAGAUUGUGAAGUCUUUCUUUAAGACCAUUAAACCCAUAAAAAAGAACACUUGUAGUAUUAAAAGGUGUUUAAGGGCUGCAAUUAGCAUUACCUGAACAUGGGCAGAGAUGAUUCCAUCUGGUACACUUUCCAACACUCCAUUAACAGCUGCCUGAUUGUUGAUGUCUUUGGUAAUAUUCCAC
ensembl:lncRNA